AGAUUUUAAUAACUUGUUUUGUUUAUAUUUUUAAAGUUUUUUUAGGAAAAAUAAUUUUAUUAAAUUAAUUUAUUAUAGUAGUUUUUAAUAAAAUAAUACAUAAGAUAAACUAUAGAAAAAAGUACUGUAAAGGAAAGUUUUAAUAAUGAAAGAUUUAUAUAGUAAUUUUAAAAGUUUUUACCUUGUGUAUCAGGGAAAAUUUAUAUAAUCUAAUUAUUGUAGAGAUCUCGAAAUAAAAACAGUUAAUUUUAUAAAAAGUUUUUGUGGAAAAUAAAUUUUUAAUAUAAAAUUAAAGAUGAAAUGUCAGUCGAGUUUUAUUAUAUCUAGUUUUUUAAAAAAUAAAUUAAAUUUAUUUUUUAUAUUAUAUUUUAUAUAAAAAUAAAGUAUAGGAGGGAUUAGCUUCUUAUAAGGAAAUAAUAAAAAGUUAUUUUAAUUUUAUUGUUAUUUGAAUUAGUCUUAAAAGUAGACAUAUUUAUAUAGUGUUUUAACUAAUUUUUAUUAAUGUAAUAUUUAUAAAUAACUUUAUGUAUAAUUAUUAAAAAAUAUAUUAUAAUAAAAUAAGCUUAAAUAUAAUGAUUUUAUUAGUAAAAAUUUAUAUUAAAUUUAAAAGUAAAAUAAUAUUUAUUGUUUAAUAAAGGUUACGAUAAUAUAAAGGAACUCGGCAAAUAGUUUUUCUGCCUGUUUAUCAAAAACAUGUCUGUUUGUAGUUAUAAAAAGUUUAGCCUGCCCACUGAUAAAAAAAUUUAAGGGCCGCAGUAUCCUGACUGUGCAAAGGUAGCAUAAUCGUUAGUUUUUUAAUUGAAAUCUUGUAUGAAUGGUUUGACAAGAAAAAAUCUGUCUUUAUAAUUAUUUAUUGAAUUUAACUUUUAAGUGAAAAGGCUUAAAUAAAUUAAAAAGACGAUAAGACCCUAUAAAAUUUAAUAUUAAUUAAUCAUUUAGUAAAAUUUUGUUAUAUAAAUAUUUAAUGAUUAAUUAUUAUUUUAUUGGGGUGAUAAUGGUAAAAUGACUAUUAACUGUUUAUUAUUUUAUUACAAAAAUUAUUGAAUAUAUUUUAAUAAAUGAUCCUUGUUAAAGAUUAAGAGUUUAAGUUACUUUAGGGAUAACAGCGUUAUUUUCUUUGAGAGUCCUUAUCGAGAAGAGAGUUUGCGACCUCGAUGUUGAAUUAAAAUAUCUAUAUAAUUGUAGCAGUUAUAUAAGAAGGUCUGUUCGACCUUUAAAUUUUUACAUGAUUUGAGUUCAAACCGGUGUAAGCCAGGUUGGUUUCUAUCUUUUAAUAUAAUAAGAAUUGUUUUAGUACGAAAGGAUUAAAUAAUUAAAAUUAUUUUGAGUUUUAAAA
rnacentral:rRNA from 1 species